UACGGAGGGGGCUAGCGUUGUUCGGAAUUACUGGGCGUAAAGCGCGCGUAGGCGGACUGUUAAGUCAGGUGUGAAAUCCCGGGGCCCAACCCCGGAACUGCCUUCGAUACUGGCGGUCUAGAGGUCUGGAGAGGGGAGUGGAAUUCCGAGUGUAGAGGUGAAAUGCGUAGAUAUGCGGAGGAACACCAGUGGCGAAGGCGGCUCCCUGGCCAGAAUCUGACGCUGAGGUGCGAAAGCGUGGGGAGCAAACAGG
rnacentral:rRNA from 1 species